GGAAGAUGAUGUUCAGUUUGUAAGUGAAUUUUCCAAUUCAUUUCACUUUUCUUUUUCCCAUUCCUUAAACACUGUAUUUGGAGGGGAAUUGUUGAUUGCUUUGCAGGCUGCUACCAUUGAUUCUUUACAUAAAUUUCAAUCUCAAACAUGUUUAGACAUUCUUGUUCACUUUAAUUUUUAGAGUUAAACACCUCAAUCUGGUAGUCAUAUCUUCUAGGUUUGAAAUUAUAAACAUUAUUCUGAAUUGAUGUUUCUGAAUGGGAGCCAUUAUUGAUGUGUAUUGAAACCUCUCUUGAAGGUGAUUUUUUUUAUAUGCA
rnacentral:misc_RNA from 1 species